CCUACGGGAGGCAGCAGUAGGGAAUCUUCCACAAUGGGCGAAAGCCUGAUGGAGCAACGCCGCGUGGGUGAAGAAGGUCUUCGGAUCGUAAAACCCUGUUGUCAGAGAAGAAAGUGCGUGAGAGUAAAUGUUCACGUUUCGACGGUAUCUAACCAGAAAGCCACGGCUAACUACGGGCCAGCAGCCGCGGUAAUACGUAGGUGGCAAGCGUUAUCCGGAUUUACUGGGCGUAAGGGGAACGCAGGCGGUCAUUUAAGUCAGAUGUGAAAGCCUUGGGCUUAACCGGAGUAGUGCAUUGGAAACUGGGAGACUUGAGUGCAGAAGAGGAGGGUGGAAUUCCAUGUGUAGCGGUGAAAUGCGUAGAUAUAUGGAGGAACACCAGUGGCGAAGGCGGCCCGCUGGACUAUAACUGACGCUGAGGUUCGAAAGCGUGGGGAGCAAACAGGAUUAGAUACCCGAGUAGUC
rnacentral:rRNA from 1 species